rnacentral:tRNA from 1 species
GCCCCUGUAGCUCAAUGGAUAGAGCUCUGGUCUUCGGAACCAGCAAUGCGAGUUCGAAUCUUGCCAGGGGCA